CGUAGGGUGCGAGCGUUAAUCGGAAUUACUGGGCGUAAAGCGUGCGCAGGCGGUUUGUUAAGACAGAUGUGAAAUCCCCGGGCUCAACCUGGGACCUGCAUUUGUGACUGCAAGGCUAGAGUACGGUAGAGGGGGAUGGAAUUCCGCGUGUAGCAGUGAAAUGCGUAGAUAUGCGGAGGAACACCGAUGGCGAAGGCAAUCCCCUGGACCUGUACUGACGCUCAUGCACGAAAGCGUGGGGAGCAAACAGGAUUAGAUACCCUGGUAGUCCACGCCCUAAACGAUGUCAACUGGUUGUUGGGUCUUUACUGACUCAGUAACGAAGCUAACGCGUGAAGUUGACCGCCUGGGGAGUACGGCCGCAAGGUUG
rnacentral:rRNA from 1 species